rnacentral:lncRNA from 1 species
CAUCUCUAUGUUGCUAAGUCCCCUUGAAGGACUUUGCUAUGCCAGUUGUGAUGCUGAACCGAGAAGGGUGCAUGAGGAGACAGAGCUUCAUGAAGGUCACUGUCUUAUCCAAGGUCACAGAACUCAUAAGUGGCACAACCCCAACUGAACCAGAGUUUGCCUUAGUCUACAGUAUCUUCCACCCAGAUUAUAAUCAAAAUACUUUGUAAAAUUUGGUAAGAAUAUAGUCCUCCAUCACUGGUCAGAAAUGUCGCUUAUUAAUGAGGCAGAAAGAGAUUGGACCGUAUCCAACACCUCUGAGUGGGGAAGAAAGAGGCAGGACUCUGACCCGGACUUGAGGAUUCCACUCCAGACCUUGCCCUCCACACCACCGGCCUCCCUCCUGCACCUCAUCUAUGUUGCCUAGAAGUCCAGGGAUGCAACAGGGAGCUCCAGAAAGCUUGAAGGGAGUAAAAGGUAGCCCGCGGCACACUCGGUCACCAGGGCUCUGUCCUGAAGUGAGGCCACUUCAGCUAUUCCCACUCAUCCACGGUGCUAGAAGACUGAAGAUGGGAGCUGUCCCCAAGCCUGCUGACUGACUCCAUAG